rnacentral:tmRNA from 1 species
AGCCGCCAGGCGAGAACCAGAAUCCCGGACACGCUCGUAGAAGUCCCGGAGGAAGCUGCUUCGGACGCGGGUUCAACUCCCGCCGCCUCCACCA